GAAAGAUCUCCCAUGCUCAUGGAUUGGCAGGAUUAAUUUAGUAAAAAUGGCCAUUUUACCAAAAGCAAUCUACAGAUUCAAUGCAAUCCCCAUCAAAAUACCAAUCCAAUUCUUCAAAGAGUUAGACAGAACAAUUUGCAAAUUCAUCUGGAAUAACAAAAAACCCAGGAUAGCUAAAGCUAUCCUCAACAAUAAAAGGACUUCAGGGGGAAUCACUAUCCCUGAACUCAAGCAGUAUUACAGAGCAAUAGUGAUAAAAACUGCAUGGUAUUUGUACAGAGACAGACAGAUAGACCAAUGGAACAGAAUUGAAGACCCAGAAAUG
rnacentral:lncRNA from 1 species